ACUCCUGCGGGAGGCAGCAGUGGGGAAUUUUGGACAAUGGGCGAAAGCCUGAUCCAGCAAUGCCGCGUGAGUGAAGAAGGCCUUCGGGUUGUAAAGCUCUUUUGUCAGGGAAGAAACGGUGAAAGCUAAUAUCUUUUGCUAAUGACGGUACCUGAAGAAUAAGCACCGGCUAACUACGUGCCAGCAGCCGCGGUAAUACGUAGGGUGCAAGCGUUAAUCGGAAUUACUGGGCGUAAAGCGUGCGCAGGCGGUUUUGUAAGUCUGAUGUGAAAUCCCCGGGCUCAACCUGGGAAUUGCAUUGGAGACUGCAAGGCUAGAAUCUGGCAGAGGGGGGUAGAAUUCCACGUGUAGCAGUGAAAUGCGUAGAUAUGUGGAGGAACACCGAUGGCGAAGGCAGCCCCCUGGGUCAAGAUUGACGCUCAUGCACGAAAGCGUGGGGAGCAAACAGGAUUAGAAACCCCAGUAGUCCCAUGA
rnacentral:rRNA from 1 species